AGUGAACGCUGGCGGUAGGCCUAACACAUGCAAGUCGAACGGCAGCACAGGAGAGCUUGCUCUCUGGGUGGCGAGUGGCGGACGGGUGAGGAAUACAUCGGAAUCUACUCUGUCGUGGGGGAUAACGUAGGGAAACUUACGCUAAUACCGCAUACGACCUACGGGUGAAAGCAGGGGACCUUCGGGCCUUGCGCGAUUGAAUGAGCCGAUGUCGGAUUAGCUAGUUGGCGGGGUAAGGGCCCACCAAGGCGACGAUCUGUAGCUGGUCUGAGAGGAUGAUCAGCCACACUGGAAAUGAGACACGGUCCAGACUCCUACGGGAGGCAGCAGUGGGGAAUAUUGGACAAUGGGCGCAAGCCUGAUCCAGCCAUACCGCGUGGGUGAAGAAGGCCUUCGGGUUGUAAAGCCCUUUUGUUGGGAAAGAAAUCCAGCUGGCUAAUACCCGGUUGGGAUGACGGUACCCAAAGAAUAAGCACCGGCUAACUUCGUGCCAGCAGCCGCGGUAA
rnacentral:rRNA from 1 species